rnacentral:rRNA from 1 species
CCUACGGGUGGCAGCAGUGGGGGAUAUUGGGCAAUGGGCGCAAGCCUGACCCAGCAACGCCGCGUGAAGGAAGAAGGCUUUCGGGUCGUAAACUUCUGUUGUCAGGGAAGAGUAGAAGACUGUACCUGACGAAUAAGCCACGGCUAACUAUGUGCCAGCAGCCGCGGUAAUACGUAGGUGGCACGCGUUCUCCGGAUUUACUGGGUGUAAAGGGCGUGUAGCCGGGUUGACAAGUCAGAUGUGAAAGCCUGCGGCUUAACCGCAGAACUGCAUUUGAAACUGUUGAUCUUGAGUACUGGAGAGGCAGAUGGAAUUCCUAGUGUAGCGGUGAAAUGCGUAGAUAUUAGGAGGAACACCAGUGGCGAAGGCGGUCUGCUGGACAGCAACUGACGGUGAGGCGCGAAAGCGUGGGGAGCAAACAGGAUUAGAUACCCGAGUAGCC